rnacentral:rRNA from 1 species
GGGUUGUGAGGUUAAGCGACUAAGCGUACACGGUGGAUGCCCUGGCAGUCAGAGGCGAUGAAGGACGUGCUAAUCUGCGAUAAGCGUCGGUAAGGUGAUAUGAACCGUUAUAACCGGCGAUUUCCGAAUGGGGAAACCCAGUGUGAUUCGUCACACUAUCAUUAACUGAAUCCAUAGGUUAAUGAGGCGAACCGGGGGAACUGAAACAUCUAAGUACCCCGAGGAAAAGAAAUCAACCGAGAUUCCCCCAGUAGCGGCGAGCGAACGGGGAGCAGCCCAGAGCCUGAAUCAGUGUGUGUGUUAGUGGAAGCGUCUGGAAAGGCGCGCGAUACAGGGUGACAGCCCCGUACACAAAAAUGCACAUGCUGUGAGCUCGAUGAGUAGGGCGGGACACGUGGUAUCCUGUCUGAAUAUGGGGGGACCAUCCUCCAAGGCUAAAUACUCCUGACUGACCGAUAGUGAACCAGUACCGUGAGGGAAAGGCGAAAAGAACCCCGGCGAGGGGAGUGAAAAAGAACCUGAAACCGUGUACGUACAAGCAGUGGGAGCACGCUUAGGCGUGUGACUGCGUACCUUUUGUAUAAUGGGUCAGCGACUUAUAUUCUGUAGCAAGGUUAACCGAAUAGGGGAGCCGAAGGGAAACCGAGUCUUAACUGGGCGUUAAGUUGCAGGGUAUAGACCCGAAACCCGGUGAUCUAGCCAUGGGCAGGUUGAAGGUUGGGUAACACUAACUGGAGGACCGAACCGACUAAUGUUGAAAAAUUAGCGGAUGACUUGUGGCUGGGGGUGAAAGGCCAAUCAAACCGGGAGAUAGCUGGUUCUCCCCGAAAGCUAUUUAGGUAGCGCCUCGUGAAUUCAUCUCCGGGGGUAGAGCACUGUUUCGGCAAGGGGGUCAUCCCGACUUACCAACCCGAUGCAAACUGCGAAUACCGGAGAAUGUUAUCACGGGAGACACACGGCGGGUGCUAACGUCCGUCGUGAAGAGGGAAACAACCCAGACCGCCAGCUAAGGUCCCAAAGUCAUGGUUAAGUGGGAAACGAUGUGGGAAGGCCCAGACAGCCAGGAUGUUGGCUUAGAAGCAGCCAUCAUUUAAAGAAAGCGUAAUAGCUCACUGGUCGAGUCGGCCUGCGCGGAAGAUGUAACGGGGCUAAACCAUGCACCGAAGCUGCGGCAGCGACACUGUGUGUUGUUGGGUAGGGGAGCGUUCUGUAAGCCUGUGAAGGUGUGCUGUGAGGCAUGCUGGAGGUAUCAGAAGUGCGAAUGCUGACAUAAGUAACGAUAAAGCGGGUGAAAAGCCCGCUCGCCGGAAGACCAAGGGUUCCUGUCCAACGUUAAUCGGGGCAGGGUGAGUCGACCCCUAAGGCGAGGCCGAAAGGCGUAGUCGAUGGGAAACAGGUUAAUAUUCCUGUACUUGGUGUUACUGCGAAGGGGGGACGGAGAAGGCUAUGUUGGCCGGGCGACGGUUGUCCCGGUUUAAGCGUGUAGGCUGGUUUUCCAGGCAAAUCCGGAAAAUCAAGGCUGAGGCGUGAUGACGAGGCACUACGGUGCUGAAGCAACAAAUGCCCUGCUUCCAGGAAAAUCCUCUAAGCAUCAGGUAACAUCAAAUCGUACCCCAAACCGACACAGGUGGUCAGGUAGAGAAUACCAAGGCGCUUGAGAGAACUCGGGUGAAGGAACUAGGCAAAAUGGUGCCGUAACUUCGGGAGAAGGCACGCUGAUAUGUAGGUGAAGCGACUUGCUCGUGGAGCUGAAAUCAGUCGAAGAUACCAGCUGGCUGCAACUGUUUAUUAAAAACACAGCACUGUGCAAACACGAAAGUGGACGUAUACGGUGUGACGCCUGCCCGGUGCCGGAAGGUUAAUUGAUGGGGUCAGCGCAAGCGAAGCUCUUGAUCGAAGCCCCGGUAAACGGCGGCCGUAACUAUAACGGUCCUAAGGUAGCGAAAUUCCUUGUCGGGUAAGUUCCGACCUGCACGAAUGGCGUAAUGAUGGCCAGGCUGUCUCCACCCGAGACUCAGUGAAAUUGAACUCGCUGUGAAGAUGCAGUGUACCCGCGGCAAGACGGAAAGACCCCGUGAACCUUUACUAUAGCUUGACACUGAACAUUGAGCCUUGAUGUGUAGGAUAGGUGGGAGGCUUAGAAGUGUGGACGCCAGUCUGCAUGGAGCCGACCUUGAAAUACCACCCUUUAAUGUUUGAUGUUCUAACGUUGACCCGUAAUCCGGGUUGCGGACAGUGUCUGGUGGGUAGUUUGACUGGGGCGGUCUCCUCCUAAAGAGUAACGGAGGAGCACGAAGGUUGGCUAAUCCUGGUCGGACAUCAGGAGGUUAGUGCAAUGGCAUAAGCCAGCUUGACUGCGAGCGUGACGGCGCGAGCAGGUGCGAAAGCAGGUCAUAGUGAUCCGGUGGUUCUGAAUGGAAGGGCCAUCGCUCAACGGAUAAAAGGUACUCCGGGGAUAACAGGCUGAUACCGCCCAAGAGUUCAUAUCGACGGCGGUGUUUGGCACCUCGAUGUCGGCUCAUCACAUCCUGGGGCUGAAGUAGGUCCCAAGGGUAUGGCUGUUCGCCAUUUAAAGUGGUACGCGAGCUGGGUUUAGAACGUCGUGAGACAGUUCGGUCCCUAUCUGCCGUGGGCGCUGGAGAACUGAGGGGGGCUGCUCCUAGUACGAGAGGACCGGAGUGGACGCAUCACUGGUGUUCGGGUUGUCAUGCCAAUGGCACUGCCCGGUAGCUAAAUGCGGAAGAGAUAAGUGCUGAAAGCAUCUAAGCACGAAACUUGCCCCGAGAUGAGUUCUCCCUGACCCUUUAAGGGUCCUGAAGGAACGUUGAAGACGACGACGUUGAUAGGCCGGGUGUGUAAGCGCAGCGAUGCGUUGAGCUAACCGGUACUAAUGAACCGUGAGGCUUAACCUUACAACGCCGAAG